UACAGGGGGAGCAAGCGUUAUCCGGAAUGAUUGGGCGUAAAGCAUUCGUAGGUGGUAGGUGAAGUCUACUGUCAAAUACCAGGGCUCAACCUUGGACAGGCAGUGGAGUACUCAUUUACUAGAGCGUGGUAGAGGUAGAGGGAAUUCCCCGUGGAGCGGUGAAAUGCGUAGAGAUGGGGGAAGAACACCGGUGGCGAAAGCGCUCUACUGGGCCAAGGCUGACACUGAGGGAUGAAAGCUGGGGGAGCAAAUAGG
rnacentral:rRNA from 1 species